AACGAACGCUGGCGGCAUGCCUAACACAUGCAAGUCGAACGAGACCUUCGGGUCUAGUUGCGCACGGGUGCGUAACGCGUUGGAACCUGCCCUUAGGUUCGGAAUAACUCCCCGAAAGGGGUGCUAAUACCGGAUAAUGUCUUCGGACCAAAGAUUUAUCGCCUUUGGAUGGGCCCGCGUUGGAUUAUCUAGUUGGUAGGGUAAAAGCCUACCAAGGCGACGAUCCAUAGCUGGUCUGAGAGGAUGAUCAGCCACACUGGGACUGAGACACGGCCCAGACUCCUACGGGAGGCAGCAGUGGGGAAUAUUGGACAAGGGGCGAAAGCCUGAUCCAGCAAUGCCGCGUGAGUGAUGAAGGCCUUAGGGUUGUAAAGCUCUUUUACCCGGGAUGAUAAUGACAGUACCGGGAGAAUAAGCUCCGGCUAACUCCGUG
rnacentral:rRNA from 1 species